rnacentral:rRNA from 1 species
GAUGAACGCUAGUUACAGGCUUAACACAUGCAAGUCGAGGGGCAGCAUGGUCUUAGCUUGCUAAGGCCGAUGGCGACCGGCGCACGGGUGAGUAACACGUAUCCAACCUGCCGUCUACUCUUGGACAGCCUUCUGAAAGGAAGAUUAAUACAAGAUGGCAUCAUGAGUCCGCAUGUUCACAUGAUUAAAGGUAUUCCGGUAGACGAUGGGGAUGCGUUCCAUUAGAUAGUAGGCGGGGUAACGGCCCACCUAGUCUUCGAUGGAUAGGGGUUCUGAGAGGAAGGUCCCCCACAUUGGAACUGAGACACGGUCCAAACUCCUACGGGAGGCAGCAGUGAGGAAUAUUGGUCAAUGGGCGCAGGCCUGAACCAGCCAAGUAGCGUGAAGGAUGACUGCCCUAUGGGUUGUAAACUUCUUUUAUAAAGGAAUAAAGUCGGGUAUGGAUACCCGUUUGCAUGUACUUUAUGAAUAAGGAUCGGCUAACUCCGUGCCAGCAGCCGCGGUAAUACGGAGGAUCCGAGCGUUAUCCGGAUUUAUUGGGUUUAAAGGGAGCGUAGAUGGAUGUUUAAGUCAGUUGUGAAAGUUUGCGGCUCAACCGUAAAAUUGCAGUUGAUACUGGAUAUCUUGAGUGCAGUUGAGGCAGGCGGAAUUCGUGGUGUAGCGGUGAAAUGCUUAGAUAUCACGAAGAACUCCGAUUGCGAAG